rnacentral:rRNA from 1 species
AGUGAACGCUGGCGGUAGGCCUAACACAUGCAAGUCGAACGGCAGCACAGUAAGAGCUUGCUCUUACGGGUGGCGAGUGGCGGACGGGUGAGGAAUACAUCGGAAUCUACUUUUUCGUGGGGGAUAACGUAGGGAAACUUACGCUAAUACCGCAUACGACCUACGGGUGAAAGCAGGGGAUCUUCGGACCUUGCGCGAUUGAAUGAGCCGAUGUCGGAUUAGCUAGUUGGCGGGGUAAAGGCCCACCAAGGCGACGAUCCGUAGCUGGUCUGAGAGGAUGAUCGGCCAAACUGGAACUGAGAAACGGUCCAGACUCCUACGGGAGGCAGCAGUGGGGAAUAUUGGACAAUGGGCGCAAGCCUGAUCCAGCCAUACCGCGUGGGUGAAGAAGGCCUUCGGGUUGUAAAGCCCUUUUGUUGGGAAAGAAAAGCAGCAGGUUAAUACCCCGCUGUUCGGACGGUACCCAAAGAAUAAGCACCGGCUAACUUCGU